rnacentral:lncRNA from 1 species
CUGCAAGCUCCGCCUUCUGGGUUCAGGCCAUUCUCCUGCCUCAGCCUCCCGAGUAGCUGGGAGUAGAGGCGCCCGCCACCACACCUGGCUAACUUUUUGUAUUUUUAGUGGAGAGGGAGUUUCACCGUUUUAGACAGGAUGGUCUCGAUCUCCUGACCUCCUGAUCCACCCGCCUCUGCCUGCCAAAGUGCUGGGAUUACAGACGUGAGCCACCGCGCCCGGCUGUUUUCUUUUUUUUAACAGUAGGAAAACACAAGCGUGAAGCCUCCAUUUGGGAAGCCUGCAGAAGCCCCAAUCCAAUCACAGCACUGCCAGAGGAUCUUAGAAGUUGAAUAUCAAUUUAAUAACACAUCCUGUUUGAGAUUGGGUUCUAACUAUAUUGCCCAAGCUAGAUUCAAACUCUUGGGCUCAAGUGAUCCUCCUGCCUAAGACUCCUUAGUAGCUUGGAACUUCAGAACCAUCUGUCAAUGGCUACUUCAUACUUUAGAUGCUCCAAGAGGAAAAAGUCAUUUCAGAAUUGUAUCCAUAACCCAGUUUCAUUGAAGAUGGAGUCUUCCUUCAGAUUUUCUACAUAGACAAUUAUACCUCUGUGAACAAAGACAGUUUAUUUCUUCCUUCCCACACCCUGCCACACUUCCUCCUGCUCCAGCAAUGUAAAACGUGCCUGCUUCCCCUUCACCUUCCACGUGACUGCAAGUUACCUGAUGCCUCUUUCGCCAGCUUUCUGUACAGCCUGCAGAACCAUGAGGAAUCACACCCCUUUUCUUUACAAAUUACCCAGUCUCAGACAUUUCUUUAUAGCAAUGCAAGAAUGGACUAAUACAGUAUCUGUGUAAAAUGGAGAUGUUUCCUAAGAAAGAAUAAACUCCUUUUGGUAUAAGUUAUGUGACUACAAGCAUACUUGGAUAUCUUAAUAUUUAAUCUGGGCCAGACAUACCUUGAUGUGGCAAGAAAGUAGCUGGAGAACUGUGUUGGUAGUCCUGGGGCUCUUCCUGCUUCUAUUGUUACCCAA